ACGUUGAAAAGUUAGGGGAUGAGCUGUGGAUAGGGGUGAAAGGCUAAACAAACUUGGAAAUAGCUGGUUCUCUCCGAAAACUAUUUAGGUAGUGCCUCGUGUCUCACUCUCGGGGGUAGAGCACUGUUAUGGCUAGGGGGUUCAUAAGAACUUACCAAACCAUUGCAAACUCCGAAUACCGAGAAGUACAAUCACGGGAGACAGACCAUGGGUGCUAACGUCCGUGGUCAAGAGGGAAACAACCCAGACCGCCAGCUAAGGUCCCUAAUGACGUGCUAAGUGGAAAACGAAGUGGGAAGGCAUAGACAGCUAGGAGGUUGGCUUAGAAGCAGCCAUCCUUUAAAGAAAGCGUAAUAGCUCACUAGUCGAGUCGUCCUGCGCGGAAGAUGUAACGGGGCUAAGCACGUAACCGAAGCUGCGGAUGCAUAUUUAUAUGCAUGGUAGGAGAGCGUUCUGUAGGCCUGCGAAGGUGUUCUGUGAGGAAUGCUGGAGGUAUCAGAAGUGCGAAUGCUGACAUGAGUAGCGAUAAAGGGAGUGAAAAGCUCCCUCGCCGAAAGCCCAAGGUUUCCUGCGCAACGUUCAUCGGCGCAGGGUGAGUCGGCCCCUAAGGUGAGGCAGAAAUGCGUAGCUGAUGGGAAACAGGUUAAUAUUCCUGUACUUGCAUUGACUGCGAUGUGGGGACGGAGAAGGUUAGGUCAGCCAGGUGUUGGAUGUCCUGGUUUAAGCAUGUAGGCGGAUCCUUUAGGCAAAUCCGGAGGGUCAACGCUGAGGUGUGACGACGAGUCUGCUUGCAGACGAAGUGAUUGAUACCAAGCUUCCAAGAAAAGCCACUAAGCUUCAGGUCAAUGUAAACCGUACCGCAAACCGACACAGGUGGGCAGGAUGAGAAUUCUAAGGCGCUUGAGAGAACCCGGGAGAAGGAACUCGGCAAAUUAGCACCGUAACUUCGGGAGAAGGUGCGCCCCGGUAGGGUGAAGGACCUCGCGUCUGGAGCUUGAUGGGGUUGCAGUGAAAAGGUGGCUGCGACUGUUUAAUAAAAACACAGCACUGUGCAAACACGAAAGUGGACGUAUACGGUGUGACGCCUGCCCGGUGCCGGAAGGUUAAGUGAUGGGGUGCAAGCUCUUGAUCGAAGCCCCGGUAAACGGCGGCCGUAACUAUAACGGUCCUAAGGUAGCGAAAUUCCUUGUCGGGUAAGUUCCGACCCGCACGAAUGGCGUAACGAUGGCCACACUGUCUCCUCUCGGGACUCAGCGAAGUUGAAAUGUUUGUGAAGAUGCAAUCUACCCGCGGCUAGACGGAAAGACCCCAUGAACCUUUACUGUAGCUUUGCAUUGGACUUUGACAAGAUUUGUGUAGGAUAGGUGGGAGGCUUUGAAGCGGGGACGCCAGUUCUCGUGGAGCCAACCUUGAAAUACCACCCUGAUGUUGUUGAGGUUCUAACCUAGGUCCGUAAUCCGCAUCGGGGACCGUGCAUGGUGGGCAGUUUGACUGGGGCGGUCUCCUCCCAAAGAGUAACGGAGGAGUGCGAAGGUAACCUAGGUACGGUCGGAAAUCGUACUGAUAGUGCAAUGGCAUAAGGUUGCUUGACUGCGAGACGGACAGGUCGAGCAGGUGCGCAAGCAGGUCAUAGUGAUGCGGUGGUUCUGUAUGGAAGGGCCAUCGCUCAACGGAUAAAAGGUACUCCGGGGAUAACAGGCUGAUACCGCCCAAGAGUUCACAUCGACGGCGGUGUUUGGCACCUCGAUGUCGACUCAUCACAUCCUGGGGCUGAAGUCGGUCCCAAGGGUAUGGCUGUUCGCCAUUUAAAGUGGUACGCGAGCUGGGUUUAGAACGUCGUGAGACAGUUCGGUCCCUAUCUGCCGUGGGCGUUUGAGAUUUGAGAAGAGUUGCUCCUAGUACGAGAGGACCGGAGUGGACGAACCGCUGGUGUUUGGGUUGUCAUGCCAAUGGCACUGCCCAGUAGCUACGUUCGGACAGGAUAACCGCUGAAAGCAUCUAAGCGGGAAGCCCCCUUCAAGAUUAGGUCUCCCUGAGAGCUUGACUCUCCUAAAGGGCCCUUGAAGACUACAAGGUUGAUAGGUUGGGUGUGGAAGUGCAGCAAUGCAUUGAGCUAACCAAUACUAAUUGCCCGUGAGGCUUGACCAU
rnacentral:rRNA from 1 species